rnacentral:lncRNA from 1 species
AUCUAAUACAUUUACGCUUCCUUUACGUUACUCUAAUUCUUCCUCAUUCUUUGAGGAAUCUAUCCUUUAAUAUUUCUUAAAUACUUAAGAACUCACUUGACAGUUGCCAUGGUUCUGAUCCUGGGCUUGCACUGAUAUCGUCUUGUACCGUUCUAGGUACAACUCAUAUCAAUGUUUUUCAUACAAUAUGAAAUGCAUAAAUCCCCUUUAUGCGUAUGCAUAAAGGAUUCUAUUUACGCAUUAUUUC